UUGUGUUUUAUCUUUCAUUAGUCGUAUCAUUUGUCUGUUUGAUCAUACUUUGCGUAACUGCUUCGAUAAUAUGUACAUCGUCUAGGAAAUGUCUGGAAGAGACUAGGUACUUUGACUCUCUGAAUUUGCCAUUCAUCGAUAAAAUGCGGCUUUUGUGCUUUCUAAAGAGAUUGGGAUCCAGACAACUGGGAGUAGAAGUUCUGGAUUACAUAAUUACUAAGGAAUUUGCCUUCAGGGUAA